CUUGACCAGUCAUUUCAAGCUCUCGGUUCCCCUACAUUUAUCAGGAAUCGGUUCAGCAGAGCAGUUCGUAGUACCACCCUGCAUUUUCACGUGUUGGGAGACAGCAUGUGUGUCACUUCCAGUGUCUGUGACGUGUGUGUGCGGUGGUCAGAUAUCCAAACUGAGGAAGAGUGUUGCUGGAUUUGGGAACAACUCCACAUUCAAAGAGGGGUUGAAGAGUUUCUUUUUGUCUGCCUGAAAUAUACUAUGCUUACCAGUCAUGAGAUGAUGGUUCUUGGAAAAGCUUACCAGCUCCUGCUGGGACAAUAUCCAUUAAACAAGAAGAGGGAGAAACACACAAAGAGAAGGAUAAUUUUGAAGUUUCAUUUCUGCCAUCUUCCCUGUCAGGAAGAGGAAAUGAAAUUGGAGGUCACAGUUAGCAGAAUCUGUAAAAGAUGAGAGAGCGAGGCAGCAGCUGCACAGAACUUAAAGCAGGCAGCGCGGUGGAUGUUAGGCAGCUACAGGCACAAAACUGCAUCAGCUUCCCCCACUGCAAAGCCCAGCCUCCAGGCAGUGAUGCAACAGAGACGAUGUGUAUGGGAUGGCAACAUUGCAAGGCCCCUGCUAAAAUCAAGAUAGUCUUUGGUACAGGAGUUUUGCAGUUCUCUCUCUCCAAGGGCAGUCCUCUAAACACGGUAAAUGGACCAAUACUACAGCUGCAGCUAGAGGAGAUUAUUACACCUACAUGCCUCUCUUCCUUGAAGUGUCUGACCUUCACAAGCCAGAACACAAAGCCAUCAGUCUGACACCAGCUGAAGGUGGCUUCAGGCAUGGCUUCAGCAUUUUGGCUCUGGAUGUGUUUUAACAUCACUCUGGAAGGACCAGGGGAUACAAGGGUUUA